AGAUUGAACGCUGGCGGCAUGCCUAACACAUGCAAGUCGAACGGGAGUAGCAAUACUCUAGUGGCGGACGGGUGAGGAAUACGUAGGAAUUUGCCCUUAAGUGGGGGAUAACCCGGGGAAACCCGGAUUAAUACCGCAUGACCUCGAAAGAGCAAAGUGGGGGAUCGCAAGACCUCACGCUUUUGGAGAAGCCUACGUCGGAUUAGCUAGUUGGUGAGGUAAUGGCUCACCAAGGCGACGAUCCGUAACUGGUCUGAGAGGAUGAUCAGUCACACCGGAACUGAGACACGGUCCAGACUCCUACGGGAGGCAGCAGUGGGGGAAUAUUGGACAAUGGGCGCAAGCCUGAUCCAGCCAUACCGCGUGGGUGAAGAAGGCCUUCGGUGUAAAGCCCUUUGUGGAAGAAAUCCUGCCGAUUAAUACUCAGUAGGAUGACGGUAUCCAAAGAAUAAGCAACCGGCUAACUUCGACGCCAGCCAGCCGC
rnacentral:rRNA from 1 species